GGCAGUGUGGUGUAGUGGUUUGAGCAUUUGACUAUGACCAUGGAGAUCAGGGUUCGAAUUCCCAUUCUGCCA